AGUCGCGGCGCUUGAGUGGGACCUUCGCCCACUGGCUUCCGGGUGUGAGCCCCACCCACCGGGUCACGUAGUAAGACUGCCGCACGUUUCCAGGUGUUACUGCCCGCUGUUUCCAAACCGCCUGGAAGACGGCCCGCACAUAGCGGGUGCUCCGGAAAUAUUUAAACAGAGUAGGAGAGACCUUUGUGCUGAAAGAAAGGUUGCCAAGAAGACCAGGCCAGACCCCUGCCCCACUUCUCUGGACCCACGACCCACCAGGGCCUGGGCCUGGUGUCAGCCCGUGGGGUGCAUUCCAGAAGCCAGCCCUGGGCUGAGGGCACGGACAUCGAAGGGUACAGAGCCCGCAGGUGGGAUGCAGGAGUUCUGGGUGACACUUACGGCUGAAGGCCUCCGGGUGCUGUCUGGCCAGCUUCCCUUUCAGUGUCCUGUGGGGGAAGGGAAGGCACACAGGGCUGAGCCUGCUGAGGAGACAGCUGGGCCCGCUGCAGGCCAGAGCCUCCCGCUCACUGCCAGCUGCACCCUGCUCCCAGGCCGGAGCGGGGCCUGGCGCUCAGCCCGCGGACCUCGACCCCGCGAUGGAUGGUAGCUGCCCUGCUGUCACCCAGCCUCCGAGUGUCCUCAGGGCUGGGGCUGGGCCCUGCCUGUAAGGCCAUGUGUCUCACCCUCUUCCACCAGGACCACCUUCCAGGAAGCUCCCCUUCCCCUCACCUCAACAGCCACUCCUCUGGGGGACGUGUCCCAGCCUGUCUUUCCAUCUGGGGCGAGGAUGUCUGUAUAGGGGGCCGGGAGGGCCUGCCUGUCCACGCCCCAAACAUCGGCACUCAUUAAACUGAAGUUCACAGA